CUUGUUAUUUCUUUGUUUUUAUAUGAUGGAUUUUGAGUUUGAUGUGUUGAAUUUUUUUUUCAUGAUUAUGAGUUUUUUCUUAUAAGCUUAAUAGCUUAUUGAUUUCUAUUUCAGUUUUCUUUUUUGAUGUAUUCUUCCCUUUCCUGCUUAUUUGUAAUGAUCUUCAUUCACUUCCUCUCAUUUUGACACUCCGGUGGGCUUAUGUGUUCACACUCUAGUUUAAUUUUCUGUCCUUUUAGGGUGCAACUUGGGAAUCUUUUACUAAGACAUCAACCAUUGUGCCUAAGAACUCUAUGGGGCAUUUUCAUCGUCUUCCUGCCAAGGUAUCAUCAAUUUCAAACACAAAUGAAAAUAAGGGAGUCAGUAUUAGCAGAUCUCAUGAGGUUCCAGGAAAAUCUAGUACAGAUGGGACAUCUUCAGUUGCUAGGAAAAGCGGAAGUCUAUCCCUUGAUGCUUUAGCAAGAGCUAAAAAAGCUUUACUAAUGCAAAAGGAAACUAACGCAAAAGGAACUGGCAGAGAAGUUGAAAAAGAUAGCACUACGGGGACAAAGUCAAGUGCAUUGGCUGCUGGGAAUCCACCUGCAAGUGGCAUGGAAGGUCUUACUGGGCUUGCCACUACACCUAAUAUUGAAGCUGUUAAAUGUGCUCAAGAGCUUGCUGUUAAAAUGGGAUUCCGGCAGGAUCUUGAGUUUGCUCUUCUUAUAAACUUGUUCCCUGGCCAGAUGCCACCAGAAGUUUCUAUACCUUCCUACCAAGGCCUUUAUUCUCCAUAUACAUGCACUUGGUCAGGAAAUAGAUGAACAUGGAAAUGUAGUGAAUGUGACUAAGCCAAGCAACCCUAGCACCCUAAAAGUUUGUUUUAUUUUUAAAUUUUUGAUAUUAAUUAAUAGUGAUUAGGUUUAUAUUGGUCAAUGCUGUAUUAUUUGGUAUCCAUUUCACAUGCCAUUAUUGCCAUAAACUUUACAGGUUAAUAUUAACAAGCAGAAAAAGGAUGCAUUUCAGAUUCUUAAGCCUAAAUUGGAAGUGGAUCUUGAAUCAAAUCCUCACUUUGAUCAAAGAAUGGGCAUAAAUAAGAAUAAGCUUUUGACGCCCAAGUGGAUGAGUUUCCAGUUUGUAAAGGAAGGAAAAUGGUCAAAGGAAGCUAAAAUGAUUAAAUUGAAGGUGCUGCUUAUUAUGCCUUUACACUUUCAUCACUUCGUUCAUUGUUUACCUGUUUUUGUUGUUUUAUCAUGUGCUAAUUACAGUGUCAAUUUGGAGAAGAAAGGGCAAAAGAUAUGAAGGCAAGGCAAGCACUACAUGCAAAGGCAAAAACAGCUCCUGAUAUAAAUCCCAAUUUGAAAAAGGUAUCAGAGAGAGUUAUAAUUAAAGAAAAGACCAAGGAGCCAAUUCCUGAAAUUGAGUGGUGGGAUGUGCCUCUUCUAUCUAGUGGUACCUGUAGUGAAAUUGAUGAUGGUAUCAUAAGUGAUAAGUUGAAGAUGGAGAAGAUCACAAUCUAUGUAGAACACCCACGUCCCAUUAAGCCCCCUACUGAGUAAGCUCUUCCACCAUCUCAGCCUUUGAAACUAACAAAGAAAGAGUAGAAGAAGCUCCAUACUCAACACCAUUUGGCUCGGGGAAUAGAUAGACAGGAGAUGAAUAGGCAAGGUUUGAUUGAACCCCCAAAGCCUAAAGUGAAAAUGAGUAAUUUAAUGAAAGUCCUUGGCUCUGAAGCUACAUAAGAUCCCACAAAACUUGAGAAGGAAAUAUGUAGUGCAGCUGCUGAGCAUGAGCAAGCUUAUAUUGACAGGUAUAUUGCACGUAAGCUCACUUCUGCUGAGCGCCGUGAGAAGAAGGAGAAGAAGCUCUUUGAUGACCUGAAUAAUAUUGAAACUAUUGUUUCUGUCUAUAAAAUAAAUGAACUGUCACAUGAGAAAACCUGCUUUAAAGUUGAUGUCAAUGCUCAAGAGAACCGUUUGACUGGUUGUGCUGUGAUUUCUGAAGGAGUUAAUGUCGUGGUUGUUGAAGGAGAAAACAAAUUCAUUAAGAGGUAUAGGAAGCUAAUGCUUAGGAGCAUAAACUGGGUUGAGGCUAAAUGGAAGAUGAAGAAGAUGAUGGAGAUGACAAUGAGGAGAAACCUGUGAACAAAUGCAUGUUGGUGUGGCAAAGCAGUGUUGCCAAAUCAAGCUUCAAUGAGUUUUCUGUACACAAGUGUGUAAUAGAAGCUGCUGCUCGGAAAGUGUUUGCUGAUGCUGGUGUUGGCCACUAUUGGGAUCUUGCUGUCAACUUUUCUGAUGAUCUAGUGUUAUUGGCUUCCUUAAUUGAAAAUUUCCUAGUAAUUAGUGAUUUUUCGUUAAGGUUGAGCCUACCUAAAGUGUUUUGGCAGUAAGAGUCAUGAAAUUACUUAGAUGCAACUUUUCAAUUGAUUUCCAUUGGUGAUUUAUUGAUUUAGGAUUUCUGUAAUAUAUAUCUGAGUCAUGGUAUGGAUGGGCUUAGGCAGAAAAAGCAUCAAAGAACCAUGCAAGUUCAAAAGCUAAUGCCCUAUUUUGCAAUUGAAUGGCUCAUUAAGGCCUAGCCUUGUUGGAAUCUGUUGAGCAGGCUAGGAUCAUAAAGGUUCACACCUAUUUUGAAGUUCAGUUCUCACCUAUUUUGAUCUAUCUUGUGCGCUGAUGCUUUAGGCCUUGUAUUGCAAGAGUUCCAUCUUUG
rnacentral:misc_RNA from 1 species